ensembl:snoRNA SNORD63 Small nucleolar RNA SNORD63
GUGCAGUGAUGCAUUUUAUUUAUCAACACAUCAUUCUGAUAAGACAGAGGUGUGGAAAACUAAUGACUGAGCACA